CACGUAGGGGGCAAGCGUUGUCCGGAUUUACUGGGCGUAAAGAGCGCGCAGGCGGUCGUACAAGUCGCGUGUGAAAGCCCCCGGCUCAACUGGGGAGGGUCACGCGAUACUGUUCGACUCGAAGGCAGGAGAGGGAAGUGGAAUUCCCGGUGUAGUGGUGAAAUGCGUAGAUAUCGGGAGGAACACCAGUGGCGAAGGCGACUUCCUGGCCUGUUCCUGACGCUGAGGCGCGAAAGCUAGGGUAGCAAACGGG
rnacentral:rRNA from 1 species